UACAGGGGGGGCAAGCGUUGUUCGGAAUUACUGGGCGUAAAGGGCUCGUAGGCGGCCAACUAAGUCACACGUGAAAUCCCCAGGCUUAACCUGGGAACUGCGUGUGAUACUGGAUGGCUUGAAUCCGGGAGAGGGAUGCAGAAUUCCAGGUGUAGCGGUGAAAUGCGUAGAUAUCUGGAGGAACACCGGUGGUGUAGACGGCUUUCUGGACCGACACUGACGCUGAGACACGAAAGCGUGGGUAGCAAACAGG
rnacentral:rRNA from 1 species